UUUCUCAAUGGGGGAAACCCUGAAGGAGCGACGCCGCGUGGAGGAUGAAGGUUUUCGGAUCGUAAACUCCUGUCAUUGGGGAACAAUGCAACGAGAAGUAACUAUCUUGUUGUUGAUAGUACCCGAAGAGGAAGGGACGGCUAACUCUGUGCCAGCAGCCGCGGUAAUACAGAGGUCCCAAGCGUUGUUCGGAUUCAUUGGGCGUAAAGGGUGCGUAGGCGGCAAGGUAAGUUGGAUGUGAAAUCCUGGGGCUCAACCUCAGAACUGCAUUCAAUACUGCUUUGCUAGAGUACUGGAGAGGAGAUUGGAAUUCACGGUGUAGCAGUGAAAUGCGUAGAUAUCGUGAGGAAGACCAGCGGCGAAGGCGAAUCUCUGGACAGUUACUGACGCUGAGGCACGAAGGCUAGGGUAGCGAACGGGAUUAGAUACCCCGGUAGUCCUAGCAGUAAACGGUGCACGUUUAGUGUGGGAGGAAUCGACCCCUUCCGUGCUGGAGCUAACGCGUUAAACGUGCCGCCUGGGGAGUACGGUCGCAAGAUUAAAACUCAAAGAAAUUGACGGGGGCCCGCACAAGCGGUGGAGUAUGUGGCUUAAUUCGAUGCAACGCGAAAAACCUUACCUGGCCUUGACAUGCAUUUCUAAGUCGGUGAAAGCCGGCGAGUGUAGCAAUACACAACUUGCACAGGUGCUGCAUGGCUGUCGUCAGCUCGUGUCGUGAGAUGUUGGGUUAAGUCCCGCAGCGAGCGCAACCCCUGUGAUUAGUUGCCACCAACUCGUGAGAGUUGAGCACUCUAGUCAGACUGCCCUGUGAAACGGGGAGGAAGGUGGGGAUGACGUCAAGUCAGCAUGGCCCUUACGGCCAGGGCUGCACACGUACUACAAUGCCCAGUACAGAAGGAACCGAGACCGCGAGGUGGAGGAAAUCACGAAAACUGGGCCCAAUUCGGAUCGCAGGCUGCAACUCGCCUGCGUGAAGCCGGAAUCGCU
rnacentral:rRNA from 1 species